UUUUUUUUGUACUGAUGAAAGGUCAAUUCUCAGACUCAGAAACAAGCCACCUUGUCCGGCAAGCCUAGAAAUGAAUGGGAGAGCUGAGGUUUCUCCCGGGGUAGAGCAAAGGGAACUCCAAAUCAAGCUGACUUGUGUGUCCAGACGACACUCAAACUAUUGCACUUCAGGUGCCCAACAGGGUAAGGCAAGACUGGAUGCCGCCCCACUGCCUGGAGCCUGAGGAGACGUCACAAACCAACUAGAGAGCAAGCUCUCCAAAGACAUUUUCCCUAUACACAUCCUCACUCGGGUCAGAAGUGAAUCUAACAGAAAAGCCUUGACUUCCUCUCCUUCCCUACUCAAGUCUUGCCUGGAGUUAAUGUCCUCUAACAGCAUCACCCUGUACAGAAGAAGAUUCCAACAGCUUUCUUUGGGCUGCAAGCCAGCAGCACCAGCACCAACCUAUCCUCUAUUUACUCCACAGCCCACAUCGCAUUUCUCUGCAAGUGUCAUCUGCUUGGAUUCUGCAGUCUUCGGGGUCUUUCUUACUCCAGGGCCUUUGCACAUGUUCCUCAUCUGCCUG